rnacentral:rRNA from 1 species
GAUGAACGCUGGCGACGUGCCUAAUACAUGCAAGUCGAGCGAACGGACGAGAAGCUUGCUUCUCUGAUGUUAGCGGCGGACGGGUGAGUAACACGUGGAUAACCUACCUAUAAGACUGGGAUAACUUCGGGAAACCGGAGCUAAUACCGGAUAAUAUUUUGAACCGCAUGGUUCAAAAGUGAAAGACGGUCUUGCUGUCACUUAUAGAUGGAUCCGCGCUGCAUUAGCUAGUUGGUAAGGUAACGGCUUGCCAAGGCAACGAUGCAUAGCCGACCUGAGAGGGUGAUCGGCCACACUGGAACUGAGACACGGUCCAGACUCCUACGGGAGGCAGCAGUAGGGAAUCUUCCGCAAUGGGCGAAAGCCUGACGGAGCAACGCCGCGUGAGUGAUGAAGGUCUUCGGAUCGUAAAACUCUGUUAUUAGGGAAGAACAUAUGUGUAAGUAACUGUGCACAUCUUGACGGUACCUAAUCAGAAAGCCACGGCUAACUACGUGCCAGCAGCCGCGGUAAUACGUAGGUGGCAAGCGUUAUCCGGAAUUAUUGGGCGUAAAGCGCGCGUAGGCGGUUUUUUAAGUCUGAUGUGAAAGCCCACGGCUCAACCGUGGAGGGUCAUUGGAAACUGGAAAACUUGAGUGCAGAAGAGGAAAGUGGAAUUCCAUGUGUAGCGGUGAAAUGCGCAGAGAUAUGGAGGAACACCAGUGGCGAAGGCGACUUUCUGGUCUGUAACUGACGCUGAUGUGCGAAAGCGUGGGGACCAAACAGGAUUAGAUACCCUGGUAGUCCACGCCGUAAACGAUGAGUGCUAAGUGUUAGGGGGUUUCCGCCCCUUAGUGCUGCAGCUAACGCAUUAAGCACUCCGCCUGGGGAGUACGACCGCAAGGUUGAAACUCAAAGGAAUUGACGGGGACCCGCACAAGCGGUGGAGCAUGUGGUUUAAUUCGAAGCAACGCGAAGAACCUUACCAAAUCUUGACAUCCUUUGACAACUCUAGAGAUAGAGCCUUCCCCUUCGGGGGACAAAGUGACAGGUGGUGCAUGGUUGUCGUCAGCUCGUGUCGUGAGAUGUUGGGUUAAGUCCCGCAACGAGCGCAACCCUUAAGCUUAGUUGCCAUCAUUAAGUUGGGCACUCUAAGUUGACUGCCGGUGACAAACCGGAGGAAGGUGGGGAUGACGUCAAAUCAUCAUGCCCCUUAUGAUUUGGGCUACACACGUGCUACAAUGGACAAUACAAAGGGCAGCGAAACCGCGAGGUCAAGCAAAUCCCAUAAAGUUGUUCUCAGUUCGGAUUGUAGUCUGCAACUCGACUACAUGAAGCUGGAAUCGCUAGUAAUCGUAGAUCAGCAUGCUACGGUGAAUACGUUCCCGGGUCU